GACGAACGCUGGCGGCGUGCCUAAUACAUGCAAGUAGAACGCUGAAGGAGGAGCUUGCUUCUCUGGAUGAGUUGCGAACGGGUGAGUAACGCGUAGGUAACCUGCCUGGUAGCGGGGGAUAACUCUUGGAAACGAUAGCUAAUACCGCAUAACAGUAGAUAUCGCAUGAUAUCUACUUGAAAGAUGCAAUUGUAUCACUACCAGAUGGACCUGCGUUGUAUUAGCUAGUUGGUGGGGUAACGGCUCACCAAGGCGCCGAUCCAUAGCGGCCUGGAGAGGGGGACCGCCCACAUGGGACUGAGACCCCGCCCCGACCCCCACGGGAGGGAGCAGGAGGGAAUCCUUGGCAAUGGAGGGAAGUCUGACCGAGCAACGCCGCGGGAGGGAAGGAGGGUCUCGGAUCGGAAAGAUCCUUUGUAAGGGAAGAAAGAGUGUGAGAGUGGAAAGUUCACAUUGUGACGGUAUCUGACCAGAAAGGGACGGCUAACUACGUG
rnacentral:rRNA from 1 species